UUAUUUAUUAUUAUUUUUUUCUUUAGUUUGGAUCUGUUAUGAAUUUUGGCAAUAAUUUUGAUUACUCCUAUUUCCAUUUACGUGCUCAAUUUUUUUUUGGGGUACACUGUGCGUGGACCAUAUCCUCUCUGAAUUUGCAAAACUGUGUUAUUGUGUUCGUAGUCUAUGUAUGGGAGUAAUAGUUUUGCUCUUAAUCUGUGGUGCAGGGUCCACUGUAUAGAAGACUAUGG
rnacentral:misc_RNA from 1 species